rnacentral:rRNA from 1 species
AGCGAACGCUGGCGGCAGGCCUAACACAUGCAAGUCGAACGAACCCUUCGGACUUAGUGGCGGACGGGUGAGUAACACGUGGGAACGUGCCUUUAGGUUCGGAAUAACUCAGGGAAACUUGUGCUAAUACCGAAUGUGCCCUUCGGGGGAAAGAUUUAUCGCCUUUAGAGCGGCCCGCGUCUGAUUAGCUAGUUGGUGAGGUAAAGGCUCACCAAGGCGACGAUCAGUAGCUGGUCUGAGAGGAUGAUCAGCCACAUUGGGACUGAGACACGGCCCAAACUCCUACGGGAGGCAGCAGUGGGGAAUCUUGCGCAAUGGGCGAAAGCCUGACGCAGCCAUGCCGCGUGAAUGAUGAAGGUCUUAGGAUUGUAAAAUUCUUUCACCGGGGACGAUAAUGACGGUACCCGGAGAAGAAGCCCCGGCUAACUUCGUGCCAGCCGCCGCAGUAAUAC